CAGUUCAGCUUUCUAACAGUCCCCGGACAAAUUUAUCAUCAUUAAUGUGACCUCAAAUCAGGUAGGACUACCCGCUGAACUUAAGCAUAUCAAUAAGCGG
rnacentral:rRNA from 1 species